GACGAACGCUGGCGGCAUGCCUAAUACAUGCAAGUAGAACGCAGUUGCGAACGGGUGAGUAACGCGUAGGUAACUGCCUGGUAGCGGGGGAUAACUAUUGGAAACGAUAGCUAAUACCGCAUACUACCAGAUGGACCUGCGUUGUAUUAGCUAGUUGGUGAGGUAACGGCUCACCAAGGCAACGAUACAUAGCCGAGCUGAGAGGGUGGACGGCCACACUGGGACUGAGACACGGCCCAGACUCCUACGGGAGGCAGCCGGAGGGAAUCGUCGGCAAUGGGGGGAAACCUGACCAAGCAACGCCGCGGGAUGGAAGAAGGUUUUCGGAUCGGAAAGCUCUGUUGUUAAGGAAGCGGUACUUGCCCAGAAAGGGACGGCUAACUACGUGCCAGCAGCCGCGGUAAUUC
rnacentral:rRNA from 1 species